AGCCUACUAUUGGAAGUUAUUAAAGUAGCCGGAAAUCUUUUUGAAAUUUUAUUUGAACAUUUCCAUCGAACACUCGAAACAAGUUUAUGAUAAACCGUAGAUAUAUGAAUACCCAUUAAAUAACUAUUUUUAAAUUUUUUUAAUGUGGUAUAAAUAUAGUUGAAAAAUAAUAAUAUAAUUCUGUUUUUCGGAUUUUUUCACCGACAAUAAAAAAAAAUGAGUGGACUUUAUGUCCAUGAACCUUUUGUCCCC